AAGCUGCUGCUGUUUUUCUACUUUAGUAUGAACAAUUAAUUGUUAACUCUUUUGCUCACUUCUAAUUUUACAAAUAUUCUGAACUUUUCUGCAUUUCUGGAAACACACUACAAACUAUCUAUCAAACAUUACAAACAAGAUAAGCACGAAUAAAGCUAAAUCAAAACAGAAGAGAAUAGAAGAGAAAAUAAUGAUUCAGAGAAAUUGAAUGAGAGUUCUAAUUUAUUUUAUUAAUUUUCGCUGCCGUACUUUCCCUUGAGAAAACAAAAAUCAACUCCAAUUCCAUCGUUCCAACCCCUCUCCUGUCCCCCAAACUCUCAGUUCGAACGAGUUUCCUUUUAUUUUAUUUUUCGUUUCAGUUUCAGUGACACCCUUUCAGAACCCUUAGAACCCUUAUAGAUAUGAUUGAACAGAGCGGUUUAUUGCUAUGUGUUUUCAUAUGCUUCUUGCUAUAUCAUGCUGUGAGGGCUGAGAUACCAUUAGGUUCUAGACUUUCGGUGGUUGACAAUGGCAGCUGGGUUUCCAAAAAUGGUAAUUUUACCAUUGGAUUUCUUAAGAUUUCGGAUGAGCCUGGCCAGUUUAGUUUUGGCAUUCGUUUCAGCGACAAGUCUAUACCGUAUAGUCAACAAAGAAUGGUGUGGAGUGCUGACUUUCUGUAUGGAGUAGGUAACAUGUCCUAUUUCCUUUUCACCACAGAUGGUGAAAUGGUCCUGUUUGAUGAUCAGGGAAUGCCUUCAUGGAGCAGCCAAACCAGUAACAAGGGUGUCGUGUCGGCUUCUCUUCUUGACAAUGGAAAUCUUGUUCUAAUCGACAGAGAGCAAAAGGUCAUUUGGCAAAGUUUUGAUAGUCCAGAUGAUACGCUUCUCCCAGGACAGUUUCUAUCUUGUGAUAAGAUGCUUCAAGCUGCAAGUACGAAUCUACUGUCCAGUUACUACACCCUGUCUAUGAAUGUUUCGGGACACUUGAUGCUCCUUUGGCAAGGUAUUAUUCCCUACUGGACAAGCCAAAACCCUUCUGUUCCGAAUCUCACUGCAUAUGUAACAAACAAUGGAGCUCUGCAACUUUUAGACAAAAAUCUUAAUGUUGUUUGGACCGUGUUUGGAGAAGACCACGAUGAAUAUGUUAAAUACCGGUUUCUUAGGAUAGAUGUGGAUGGCAAUCUCCGCUUAUAUUCGUGGGUGGAGGCUUUGCAGUCAUGGAAAUCUGUCUGGCAAGCUGUUCAGAACCAGUGCAAGGUUUUUGCGACUUGCGGUAAACGGGGGGUCUGUGUUUUGUCUUCCUGUGGUACUGCUGAUUGUGUGUGCCCUUUCAACCAGACGGACACUGAUGAGACUUGUUUCAUUCCAUAUGAACAAAAGUGUAAACAUGGUUCCACUAUGGUCGCAUAUAGGCACAUACACCUAUAUGGGCUUUACCCUAUUGAUGGUCCGGCUAUCAUGACUAGCGUGAAUAAAUGUAUGCAAUUGUGCCAGAAUGACUCUAGUUGUACUGCCGCAACCUUUUCUAAUCAUGUUCUUCCCCAGUGCUCGAUAAAGAAAUCUGAGUAUGUCACUGGCUAUUUAGAUCCGUCUCCAAACGUGGUAUCAUUUGUCAAGAGUUGCUCAUCUACAUCUGCCCUAAAGUUCCCAUGUCAAAGCUCACCUGCAACAGAAGAAGAUCCUCAUACUUGUGUUCCUUGUCUAAUAGGAAUAUCCUUAGCCACAAUUAUCAUCGGUGUUGUCCUUCAACUCGGAUGUUAUUAUUAUCUUUUCAUCUACAAAAGGAAAACCUCUACUAGAUGCAAAUACAAUUUACCUUCCGCAGACACAAAUUUAAAGGGCCUAGUUGUGUUGUUAUCUUUUUCAGAGAUCAAGAGCGUCACUGAGGAUUUCAAAGAUCGAAUUGGGCCAAAUAUGUUCAAGGGCAUGCUACUAAACAAAUUCCCAGUUGCUGUUAAAGAGCUGAUUGCAUCCAUAGAUGCAAGGAAGUUCCGGACUGCUGUUCUGAAGAUUGGAGGCAUCCACCACAAGAACCUUGUGCAGCUGGAGGGCUAUUGUUGCGAGUCCAAUCAUAGAUUCUUGGUCUACGAGUACGUCAAAAACGGUUCUCUUGAGAAGUAUAUAGAUGAUUCCGCUCUUUGCAAGGAACUGACCUGGAGAAAAAGGGUUGACAUAUGCUUAAGCGUGGCCCAGGCCCUUAAUUAUCUUCACUCUGAAUGCAGGGAGUUCAUAAGUCAUGGAAAUCUGAAGUGUGAAAAUGUCAUGUUGGAUGAGAACUUAAAAGCCAAGGUGAGCGAAUCUGGGUUUGCAAUAGUAGACGGCGAGGCAGUGUACUGUGCCUUUUCUGCCAAGAGAGACAUAGCAGAUUUCGGCAUGUUAGUCCUAACCUUAUUGACCGGAUGUAGAGAUCAAAGUGAUCUUUGUGAGUGGUCAUAUAAAGAAUUGAUAGAAGGGAAUGCUGCAAAUGUGAUUGACAAAAGAAUUCAAGGUGGUGCCAAUUCAAAUGAACUUGAGCGCGUUUUGAGAAUCGCAUUCUGGUGCCUACAAAGCAAUGAACAUCAAAGGCCUUCAAUGGAGGAUGUAGUGGCAGUACUGGACGGAACUUUGAGUAUUGAUCCACCACCACCUCCAUUUUGAUGCAAGAGUUUGUGGUUUGUGUUGCGAUGCAUUGUUGUUGCGUGAUAACAUGGGAGUUUAAUACCUGAGAACAACCACAAAGUUCUUUUGUCACUGGGUACUUGCUGUGAAGAAACUUGAAAAGAGAGUUUGUGAUCACCAGGAGGAGGAGGAUUUUCUUGAAUUAGUGAAUGGCAUUAACAAUCGUCGAGUUUAUUGGGUACUGUUCAGAGCAUGGUCAAAGGCUUCUGAUAUAUGAGUAUUGCAGUAAUGGAUCACUCAAUGAGGCACUCCACUCAGAGGAUGAAUUUAAAACAAGACUCACAUGGAAUGCUUGCAUCCGGAUAGCACUUGGGGCGGCUAGGGCCCUAGAGUAAGUCAAGUUACCAUUAUGUUUUUAAGAGAAAAAAUUGCUCAAGCUUGUUGAUUUGUAGCUUUGGCUUAUAACAGGUUCAGAUCUUUUAUUUUCACAAGUCUGGUUUAUCCUGCCUAAAAUAUUAGUUUUCCUUGGAGAAUUCAUUCAAUUGCUGAUAUUAAUUUGCUCAAGUCAUGGUUGUUGAUGUUGAAGCUUUAUUUCAACUUUGCUAGUACUUCCAAAGUUAAAUUGUUAAAUGCUAAAUUAAACUUUCAUGGUUA